rnacentral:rRNA from 1 species
CAGUCGCCGCGGGAAUACAGAGGGUGCGAGCGUUAAUCGGAUUUACUGGGCGUAAAGCGUGCGUAGGCGGCUUCUUAAGUCGGAUGUGAAAUCCCUGAGCUUAACUUAGGAAUUGCACUCGAUACUGGGAAGCUAGAGUAUGGGAGAGGAUGGUAGAAUUCCAGGUGUAGCGGUGAAAUGCGUAGAGAUCUGGAGGAAUACCGAUGGCGAAGGCAGCCAUCUGGCCUAAUACUGACGCUGAGGUACGAAAGCAUGGGGAGCAAACAGGAUUAGAUACCCGAGUAGUCCCUGUCUCUUAUAC